rnacentral:rRNA from 1 species
UACGUAGGGGGCAAGCGUUGUCCGGAAUCAUUGGGCGUAAAGCGCGUGUAGGCGGCUCGGUAAGUCCGCUCUGAAAGCCCGGGGCUCAACCCCGGGAGGCGGGUGGAUACUGCUGAGCUCGAGUCCGGAAGAGGAGUGUGGAAUUCCGUGGUGUAGCGGUGAAAUGCGCAGAUAUCAGGAGGAACACCAAUGGCGAAGGCAGCACUCUGGGACGGUACUGACGCUGAGACGCGAAAGCGUGGGGAGCAAACAGG